UACGUAGGGCGCAAGCGUUGUCCGGAAUUAUUGGGCGUAAAGAGCUCGUAGGCGGUUUGUCGCGUCUGCUGUGAAAACCUAAGGCUCAACCUUGGGCUUGCAGUGGGUACGGGCAGACUAGAGUGCGGUAGGGGAGACUGGAAUUCCUGGUGUAGCGGUGAAAUGCGCAGAUAUCAGGAGGAACACCGGUGGCGAAGGCGGGUCUCUGGGCCGAUACUGACGC
rnacentral:rRNA from 1 species